UGUUCAGGUUAGUUCUGCGGAGUCAUUGCUCUACUCUAAGUCCAGUUAUGAAUACGGUUUAUGGACAUGGCCCACAGAGGGUGAAAGGCCCGUGUGAGUAGAGACCUCGGCGGUGGCUCCCUGAACGAACCUUGGAGUCGGGUUGUUUGAGAAUGCAGCCCAAAGUGGGUGGUAAACUCCAUCCAAGGCUCAAUACUGGCACGAGUCCGAUAGCGAACAAGUACCGUGAGGGAAAGUUGAAAAGUACUCUGAAGAGAGAGUAAACAGUACGUGAAACCGCUCAGAGGUAAACGGGUAGAGUUGAACUGCAAGCCUGGGAGAUUCAGCUAAUGAGCUUGACUUGAACUUGGUCAUAUUAAUCUGGCGCAGAGGUCUGCUUAGCCGCAGGUUGCCACCUUCGGGUGGUGAUACGUGCUGCACUUGUCAAGUGUUGCGUGCCUUUGUGACCGGAGGUUGGCUCGUUAGUGCACUUCGCCCAGGUGUUCACCACGACCGGCGCUGCUGUCUGUCUGCUGUGGUCAAACCAGUGUAGCUCGGUCCUUGUGGCCUUGUUGUGCUGGGAUGGCAGGUAGCUUGCUGACCUUCGGGUCUUUAAGUGUAAUAGCCGGCCGCAGUGGAGCUGUGCAGUGCGUCGGAGACGGCGGCUGUAGGCAGUCUGAAUGCAGGUUCUGUUGCCGGAGUCGGAUCUGGUUGUCGUGCGUCUGUUCAUUCAGUCCCGGCGAUGGUUCGGCUUUGUGUGGCAGGCUGUUGUUCGGGUUGCCGUUAAUUGAGCCAACAGUCUGUGGUGUAGUGGUAAGCUCUCUACCCGACCCGUCUUGAAACACGGACCAAGGAGUUUAACAUGUGCGCGAGUCAUUGGGUCAUCGAAACCUAAAGGCGUAAUGAAAGUGAAGGUUCGGCUUGUCCGAGCUGAGGUGAGAUCCGGUCGUUUCUCGUGCGUGGAACUUCCAAGCAUUCGAGCGGCAGGCGCAUCACCGGCCCGUCCCAUGGUGUGGUCAUGACUCUUUCGGGAGUUGUGCGUCACCGGGGUGGAGCAUGAGCGUACACGUUGAGACCCGAAAGAUGGUGAACUAUGCUUGUGCAGGUUGAAGCCAGAGGAAACUCUGGUGGAGGACCGCAGCGAUUCUGACGUGCAAAUCGAUCGUCAAAC
rnacentral:rRNA from 1 species